GGAGUAACUCAAGACGAUCGCGAGAUGGUGACUCUGUUCACAUCUCGAGGAAAGUCCGGGCUGCAUAGAGCAAGGAUGCCGGGUAACGCCCGGUGGGGGUGACCCUGAGGAUAGUGCCACAGAAAAGAACCGCCAGCUGUGUUGUGCCGAUGGUAACACCACCUCUGGUAAGGGUGAAAAGGUGCGGUAAGAGCGCACCGCCCUGCACGGUAACGGGCAGGGGCUAGGCAAACCCCAUCCGCAGCAAGGCCAAAUAGGGAGACAGAUAGCGCUGCUCGCGCUGGUCUCCGGGUUGGCUGCUGGAGCCAAUAGGCAACUAUUGGCGUAGAUGAAUGAUCGUCUCCCACUGCGCAAGCGGAUGGCAGACAGAACCCGGCUUACUGAGUUACUCCGCCC
rnacentral:RNase_P_RNA from 1 species